GAGAAGCUUUGUAACGUCUAAAGCUAGCGUUUCACCAGAGGGAUUUAAUAGUUAACGACUGGUUUGUAGUUUAGGGUUUUGUCUUUGAGACUGUUUGUUUCUGUUUUUCAUGUCCAGUUUGCUUCAAGGUUGCUUUUGGUUGUGAUUUAUUGUAGGACGUUUCUGGACUGUUUCAGACGCAAGAAAUGUCUCUCCUGGGUUUAAUUGUUGUUAGAAUCAAUUUGUUAAGGUGAAUGCGUGACCAUGAGCUUAUCUAAGCGAUCGGAUUGUGUGAUUUGUUUUGUGUGAUGGUAUGUAGGUGUGGUGAAUGUGUUUUUGGGUGAAUUGUUUAAUGACUGGUUUGUUUAUGAUGUAUUUGUGAUUAUACCCUUUUAAUUGCUUUUGUGUAUAGUUCGUAAAUGGGAGGAUCGCCUCACUAAGUAUUUGUGAUAAUACUUACGCAUCUCUUUCUUUUUGGUGCAGGUAAAGAUAAAGUGUGAUUGUGGAAUCAUGGCAAGGAAGAGAGGAUGAUCUAGGAACUCGUUUGGUUUAUUUUUGUGUUUUGGUUAUUGGAACCGGUUAGGGUUGUGUUAUAAUUGUUAGUUAUUCUUGGUUUUGUUGGUUGAAUUAUUUAUGUACUCAUAAAAUAGUAUUUUUGACUUGCGGUUUAAAUGUUGCUUUAUUGGUUGGUUUAAUUAAGUAUUUAUGGGAAUAUUUAAUUAUGUUUUUUAAAAAAAUGGUCGGGUUGUUUCAAUUUGGUAUCAGAGCGAUCACGGUUCUAGGAUGUGUAGAAAAAAUUAACUGAUGAAUUAUUUUCCUGAUGAUUGAUGUGAGAUGAGCUAGGGUGUUAGCAUACUGAGGAUUGAUUAUGGAGUGUUUAGUCAAUUGUGUGUUGUUGGAGUCCUAGCAUCAUCUUCUCCGAGCCUUAAAUGAUAUUCCACUGUAAGUUGUUUGUGAUAUAUUCGUUUAUUCUAGUUUCUUAGCCUUUUGUUCUUGAGUAGCGCAGAUGGUUAGAGGAGCUAAGUUCGUGGUCGUGGUCGUGGUCGCGGUAGAGGACGAGUCCUCGAGGGUACCAGCGAGAGUGAUGGCUACAGUGCUACAGUUGCGCAGAGUGUGGGUUCGCAGCCUGAGUUUGUGGAGCCCGGGGCUGGGGACGGUCUCGAUGCCGAUAUAGCUGGUGCAGCCGGAGUGGGGACUGGUGGAGCUGGUGUCGGUGCCGGUGUGUAUGUCGUUGGUGCUGAGGACCCAGGAGUGAUGGGUGCCGCAGCCGGAGGAGCACAGGUUCCAGAAGUUGGUUUGGCGGGCCUGCUGAGGCAGUUGUUGGAGAGGUUACCAGGUGUGGUACCAGUGCAGGCUCCAGUUACGCCACGAGUGGCGAAGGUGCAGCAGAGGGCUGCGGUUGCUGAGGAGGUUCCAUCUUAUUUGAGGACAAUCGAGCAGUUGUAGAGGAUUGGCACCGAGUAUUUUUCUGCUGGUACUAGUCCUGAGGAGGCUGACAGUUGGCGGUCGCAGGUUGAGCGGAAUUUCGGUUCGAACAGAUGUCCGAUGGAGUAUCGGGUGGAUUUGGCAGUGCAUUUUAGAGGGAGAUGCAUAUCUAUGGUGGCGGAGUGUGACUGCCAGGAGGAGGCAGGCGGAUAUGUCUUGGGAAGAUUUCGUGACUGAGUUUAAUGCCAAUUACUUUCCUCAGGAGGCGCUCGACCGUAUGGAGACGCGUUUUCUUGAGUUGACAAAGGGUGAGCGGUCGGUUCGAGAGUAUGAUCGAAAGUUUAACCGACUCUUGGUGUCUGCGGGUCGGGGCAUGAAAGAUGACUAGGCCCAGAUGAUGAAGUUCUUGAGGGGACUUCGACCAGAUUUGAGGGUGCGGUGUAGAGUAUCGCAAUACACCACGAAAGCAGCACUGGUGGAGACGGCUGCUGAGGUAGAGGAGGACCUUCAGAGGCAGGUGGUGGCAGUGAUUCCCGCGGUACAGCCGAAGAAGACUCAACAUCAGGUGGCACCUAGCAAGGGCGGCAAGCCUGCGUAGGGGCAGAAGAGGAGGUGAGAUCAUCCUUCCAGAGCCGGACAGGGUGGUCGUGCAGGAUGUUUUUCUUGUGGGAGCCUUGACCACAAGGUAGCGGAUUGCACGCAGCGAGCUGAGACGAGGGAGUGCUACCACUACAGGGAGAGAGGACAUCUCAUGCCGAAUUAUCCUAAGUUGCAGCGGAUGGCAGUGGCGAGAGUACAGCCGGCAGGGAGCGCAGGUGCAACAGGGAGUGCAGCAAAAUGUGCAGCAGUUAGCACAUAUUGCAGCGGCACCGCAAGGUUACACUACGCGUGAGAUAGGCGGUACCAGCAAUAGAGCGAUCACUGUUAUGAUUUCUAAGACUCAGACUUUGUGAAUUAUUUCUGUUGUUUUUGGAUAUCAUUGUUUUGUGAUGAAUGUUAGGGUUCUUAACACAUGAGGUUUGUGUAGGGACCUUAUUACUGGGCGGUGUAGAGGCCCAUGUGUUGUUUGACUCUGGAGCAUCGCAUUGCUUCAUUACCCUGGAGAGUGCCUCGCGCGGCAACAUCCGUGGGGAUCCUGGUGAGCAGUUUGGAGCCGUCAAGGUUGCUGGAGGGCAGUUUCUAGCGGUUCUGGGGUGAGCUAAGGGUGUGGAUAUUCAAAUUGCAGGGGAGUCGAUGCCGACAGAUUUGAUUAGCAGUAUUGUAAAGUUGUAUGAUGUUAUUGUGGGAAUGGAUUGGUUGGAUCAUUACAGAGUACAUCUUAACUGGCACCGUGGGAGAGUUUCUUUUGAGCGGCCAGAGGGGAGGUUGGUUUAUUAGGGAAUAAGACAUACCUCAGGGAGUCUCGUCAUCUCAGCAGUGCAGGCAGAGAAAAUGAUCGAGAAGGGCUGCAAGGCUUACCUGGUGAUGAUAUCUAUGCCGGAGUCUGUGGGGCAUGUAGCAGUGAGCGACAUUCGGGUUGUUCAGGAGUUCGAGGAUGUGUUUCAAUCGUUGUAGGGAUUACCACCAUCACGGUCUGAUCCUUUCACGAUUGAAUUGGAACUAGGGACAGCGCCGUUGUCUAAGGCACCCUACAGGAUGGCUCCAGUGUUGAGCCUGAAGGAGAUGUUGACGAGUACACCAGUGUUAGCAUUGCUAGAGCAUGGAAAGCCUUACAUAGUGUAUACUGAUGCCUCGAGAGUUGGUUUGGGUUGUGUUUUGAUGCAGCGUGGGAAGGUUAUUACCUAUGCAUUGCGGCAGUUGAGGAAGCAUGAGGACAACUAUCCUACUCACGAUUUGGAGAUGGUUGCAGUAAUCUUUGCCUUGAAGAUUUGGAGUUUUAUCUUUAUGGCGGGAAAAUGCAGGUGUUCACGGAUCAUAAGAGUCUAAAGUAUAUCUUCACUUAUCCAGAGCUGAACCUGAGGUAGAAGCGAUAGAUGGAGCUGGUGGCUGAUUAUGAUCUAGAGAUAGCCUAGCAUCCUCGUAAGGCUAAUGUGGUUGCAGACGCGUUGAGCCGUAAGCGCGUGGGUGUGGCACCAGGGCAGAGUGUUGAGGCCUUGGUGAAUGAGAUUGGUGCUUUGCAGUUGUGUGUUGUGGUAGGGGAGCCAUUGGGAUUCGAAGCUGUGGAUCGAGCAGAUCUUCUGAGUAGAAUGCGGUUGGCUCAGGAGAAGGAUGAGGGGUUGAUUGCGGCUUCUAAGGCAGAGGGCUCUAAGUAUCAGUUUGCAGCUAAUGGGACUAUCCUUGUGCAUGGGCGAGUUUGUGUGCCUAAGGAUGAGGAGUUGAGACGCGAGAUCUUGAGUGAGGCUCAUGCAAGCAUGUUUUCCAUUCAUCCAGGAGCGACUAAGAUGUACCGAGACCUCAAGCGGUACUAUCAGUGGGUCGAGAUGAAGAGGGAUGUAGCUAAUUGGGUCGUAGAGUGCGAUGUUUGCCAGUUAGUUAAGGCUGAGCAUCAGAUGCCGGGUGAGUUUACCCAUCCCUGAGUGGAAGUGGGAUUUUAUCACGAUGGAUUUUGUGGUUGGGUUGCCUGUGUCUCGAACCAAAGAUGCUAUUUGGGUGAUCGUUGACCGUCUGACUAAGUCAGCUUAUUUUCUGGCCAUCAGAAAAAUAGAUGGAGCGGCUGAAUUGGCUAAGAAAUAUGUGAGCGAGAUCGUGAAGUUGCAUGGAGUACAUGUGAGUAUUGUGUUAGACAUGGACUCUAAGUUUACAUUUGGGUUUUGGAGAGCCUUCAGGCAGAGAUGGGCACUAAGGUGCAGAUGAGCACGACUUAUCAUCCUCAGACAGAUGGGCAAUCUAAGAGGACUAUCCAGACGCUUGAGGAUAUGUUGCGGAUGUGUGUCUUGGAUUGGGGAGGUCAUUGGACGGAUCACUUGAGUCUGGUAGAGUUUGCUUAUAACAACAGCUAUCACGCGAGUAUUGGUAUGGCUCCUUUCGAGGCGUUAUAUGGGAGGCCAUGCAGGACACCGUUAUGCUGGACCCAAGUGGGGGAGAGGAGCAUAUAUGGUGCAGAUUAUGUUCAGGAGACCACAGAGAGGAUCCAGGUUCUUAAGCUGAACAUGAAGGAAGCUCAGGAUCGACAGUGGAGUUAUGCUGACAAGAGGAGGAGAGACCUUGAGUUUGAGGUUGGGGACAAAGUGUAUCUCAAGAUGGCCAUGUUGCGAGGUCCAAACAGGUCUAUCUCAGAGACUAAGUUGAGUCUGAGGUACAUGGGUCGUUCAGGAUUGUUGAGAGGGUGGGACCAGGGGCAUACAGGUUAGAGUUGCCAGAUGUUAUGCGUGCGUUUCACAAGGUCUUUCAUGUGUCGAUUCUGAGGAAGUGUCUUCACAAGGAUGAUGAGGUGUUGGCUAAGAUUUUAGAGGAUCUUCAGCCCAACAUGACUUUGAAGGCGAGACCAGUGAGGGUUCUCGAGAAGAGGAUCAAGGAACUUCGGCGGAAGAAGAUUCCUUUGAUCAAAGUCCUGUGGGACUGCGAUGGUGUGACAGAGGAGACUUGGGAGCCAGAGGCGAGGAUGAAGGCAAGGUUCAAGAAGUGGUUCGAGAAGCAGGUUACUGCAUGAAUUUGCCUUUCCUUGGUUUCCAGUUUCAGUGUUGUUGAGUUUUUGAGCUUUUGAGUUGUUGUUCUUAUUUCUCUUUCAUUUUUAUUUUCGUUUGGAGUUGUAACGAUCAUGACAUUUGAUGAUUUAUAAGAUGAGUAUUUGUUUUCUUAGAUUUGACUUGAGUUGUCUUAUUUAAGAAUGUGUUGUGCGGUUUCCAAGAAUGGAAAGUUUUCCAUAAAGGACUUGUCUAUUUUUGGAAAGGUU
rnacentral:sRNA from 1 species